UUGCCUCAGUAGCGGCGAGUGAAGCGGCAAAAGCUCAAAUUUGAAAUCUGGCGUCUUUGGCGUCCGAGUUGUAAUUUGAAGAAGGUAUCUUUGGGCCCGGCUCUUGUCUAUGUUCCUUGGAACAGGACGUCACAGAGGGUGAGAAUCCCGUGCGAUGAGAUGACCCGGGUCUGUGUAAAGUUCCUUCGACGAGUCGAGUUGUUUGGGAAUGCAGCUCUAAGUGGGUGGUAAAUUCCAUCUAAAGCUAAAUAUUGGCGAGAGACCGAUAGCGAACAAGUACAGUGAUGGAAAGAUGAAAAGAACUUUGAAAAGAGAGUGAAAAAGUACGUGAAAUUGUUGAAAGGGAAGGGCUUGAGAUCAGACUUGGUAUUUUGCAUGCUGCUCUCUCGGGGGCGGCCGCUGCGGUUUACCGGGCCAGCAUCGGUUUGGAGCGGCAGGAUAAUGGCGGAGGAAUGUGGCACGGCUUCUGCUGUGUGUUAUAGCCUCUGACGAUGCUGCCAGCCUAGACCGAGGACUGCGGUUUUUAACCUAGGAUGUUGGCAUAAUGAUCUUAAGUCGCCCGUCUUGAAACACGGACCAAGGAGUCUAACGUCUAUGCGAGUGUUUGGGUGUAAAACCCGUACGCGUAAUGAAAGUGAACGAAGGUGGGGGCCCAUUAGGGUGCACCAUCGACCGAUCCUGAUGUGUUCGGAUGGAUUUGAGUAAGAGCAUAGCUGUUGGGACCCGAAAGAUGGUGAACUAUGCCUGAAUAGGGUGAAGCCA
rnacentral:rRNA from 1 species